AUGUACCCUGGCAGACCAAACAAAAGCAGCUGCCCUGUGAACGCUUUGUUUCUUUAGGACCACCGGUACUAUCAGAAGCUUUCACUCUGCCUACUCAGCUCAGUCCAACCAACCCUCAAAUCUUUUUCCUUCGAGAAACCAGGGUCAUGAUGGAGCAGCCUUCACCCUUGCUCUCUGUGAUGAGACACUGGCUUCUGUUGUCAUUGGCCUUCCUUUAGCAACUUCCCCAUGGAGAGACACGCUAUCUACAGCAUCACCUCUACAUGGGACCUGGCCAACUUGUCUUUUGCUACGAGACUGUCAGCAGUGAUUUCCAGGAAAUGAGAAAAGCAGGCAAAGAUUAAAACAAUUUACAGGUC